rnacentral:rRNA from 1 species
GAUGAACGCUAGCGAUAGGCUUAACACAUGCAAGUCGAGGGGCAGCAUGGUCUUAGCUUGCUAAGACUGAUGGCGACCGGCGCACGGGUGCGUAACGCGUAUGCAACUUGCCUCACAGAGGGGGAUAACCCGUCGAAAGACGGACUAAUACCGCGUACACUCCAUCUUGGGCAUCCAAGGUAGAGGAAAUGAACUUCGCUGUGAGAUAGGCAUGCGUCUCAUUAGCUAGUUGGUGAGGUAACGGCUCACCAAGGCGACGAUGGGUAGGGGAACUGAGAGGUUGAACCCCCACACUGGUACUGAGACACGGACCAGACUCCUACGGGAGGCAGCAGUGAGGAAUAUUGGUCAAUGGGCGAGAGCCUGAACCAGCCAAGUCGCGUGAAGGAUGACUGUCUUAUGGAUUGUAAACUUCUUUUAUACGGGAAUAACAAGAGUCACGUGUGACUCCCUGCAUGUACCGUAUGAAUAAGCAUCGGCUAACUCCGUG